rnacentral:ribozyme from 1 species
UGCCCAGCAACUCCUAUCCCUACCUCCACGCGGUACCGGCCGGAAACUAUGAGCAACCUUAGAGAAGAUCGGGUAACCAACCCCGGUGGGAUCUUUGGUCGUAGGCUGACAGGGAAGG